UGGUAAUGCCGGAUGCUCCGGUUGGAUGCAUGUCCUUCCGGGAAAGAUUCCAUCGGUAUGGGAUGGGGUCGCGUCCUAUCAGCUUGAUGGCGGGGUAACGGCCCACCAUGGCUUCGACGGGUAGCCGGCCUGAGAGGGCGACCGGCCACAUUGGGACUGAGAUACGGCCCAGACUCCUACGGGAGGCAGCAGUGGGGAAUAUUGCACAAUGGGCGCAAGCCUGAUGCAGCGACGCCGCGUGCGGGAUGGAGGCCUUCGGGUUGUAAACCGCUUUUGAUCGGGAGCAAGCCCUUCGGGGUGAGUGUACCCUUCGAAUAAGCACCGGCUAACUACGUGCCAGCAGCCGCGGUAAUACGUAGGGUGCAAGCGUUAUCCGGAAUUAUUGGGCGUAAAGGGCUCGUAGGCGGUUCGUCGCGUCCGGUGUGAAAGCCCAUCGCUUAACGGUGGGUCUGCGCCGGGUACGGGCGGGCUGGAGUGCGGUAGGGGAGACUGGAAUUCCCGGUGUAACGGUGGAAUGUGUAGAUAUCGGAAAAGAACACCA
rnacentral:rRNA from 1 species